AAAUGCGAUAAGUAAUGCGAAUUGCAGAAUUCAGUGAAUCAUCGAAUCUUUGAACGCACCUUGCGCUCCUUGGUAUUCCUUGGAGCAUGCCUGUUUGAGUAUCAUGAAAUCUUCAAAGUAAAUCUUUUGUUAACUCAAUUGGUUUCUACUUUGGUAUUGGAGGUCUUUGCAGCUUCACACCUGCUCCUCUUUGUUCAUUAGCUGGAUCUCAGUGUUAUGCUUGGUUCCACUCGGCGUGAUAAGUUAUCUAUCGCUGAGGACACUGUAAAAGGUGGCCAAGGUAAAUGCAGAUGAACCGCUUCUAAUAGUCCAUUGACUUGGACAAUACUUUUAUGAUCUGAUCUCAAAUCAGGUAGGACUACCCGCUGAACUUAAGC
rnacentral:misc_RNA from 1 species